UUUGCAAGUUGUCUUAUCGCUCUUGGCUUGACCAAGUGAGGAAAGUCCGGGCAACACAGAGCAUCGUACUUCCUAACGGGAAGGCAUAUGCCUAGCAUGUGACAGAAAGUGCCACAGAAAACAAACCGCCUCAUUGAGGUAAGGGUGAAAAGGCGAGGUAAGAGCUCACCGCUUGGCAGGCGACUGUCAAGGCAGGGUAAACCUUACGAGUUGAAAGGCCAAAUAUACCAGUGCUUGAGGGUUGCUCGCCCGAUACUGGAGGGUAGGCUGAUUGAGUCAUUUGGCGACAAAUGAUCCAGAUAAAUGAUAAGAACUCAUUAUGAGUACAGAACCCGGCUUAUAGGCUUGCAAAUUUU
rnacentral:RNase_P_RNA from 1 species